rnacentral:misc_RNA from 1 species
AGUUUGUUAACUGGUUCACGUCCUUUUACUGAAGUGAGCGACGUGUGGGUGAACCAGUGAACAUUUAUUUCAGCUCUCGCCACGCACGCCUGAAGACGACGCAUCAAAUUCGCCAUGACGAACGAGGAGGAAGCCCUGCGCAAACUGUUCCUGGGGGGUCUAGACAGGGAGAAGACCAAGGAGGCACAGUUGAGAGACUACUUCAGCGCCUAUGGCGAGGUCACUGACUGUGUCGUCAUAAAGGACGACUCGGGAUCCUCCAAAGGCUUUGGCUUUGUGACCAUGUCCACGGUGGAUGAGACAGACAGGGUCUUGUUGGACAAAGAUGACAGCGAGCCUCACAUCAUCAAUAACAAGAAAGUGGAGGUCAAACGUGCCAUACCCAGAGGGCGAGAUAUCUUGCCUGACCCGAUCAAGAAGUUAUUUGUGGCCGGCUUCAAGGAUGCCAACAUCACUGAAGACGAGUUUAAGAGUUACUUCGGCGACAAGUGCACCGUUGACAAAGUCCACAUUGUGAAAGAUAAAGAGACCAACAGGCAAAAGGGCUACUGCUUUGUCGAAUUGAGCAACCGUCACAUGGUCGACAAAGCUGCAAUCAUUGAGAAUCACGAAAUCAGAGGCAUCAAAGUGGUCGCCAAGAAGGCCAUACCCAAGGGUGACGAGGCCAUGGGCGGAGGCAGGGGAGGCGGCGGCGGUGGCAGAGGCAGAGGGCGGGGUAGUUACAACAGCGGAAGCUACGGUGGUGGGAGUUAUGGCGGGGGUGGUGGCUACGGGGGUGGUGACAGCUAUGGGUCAUACGGUGGGGACAUGUCUGAGGGCUAUAGCUCCUAUGGAGGCGACCGAUACAGCGGUGGUGGCCGAGGGCGGGGUCGUGGUAGCUACAGCAGCCGUGGAGGCGGCGGUGGAAGCUACGGGGCCAGCGGAGGCAGUAACUGGGGCGGCAAUGGUUAUGACGGCUGGGGUAGUGGCAGUGGUGGAUAUGACGCUGGCUCCAACUACGCAGGUGCAAGCUCCAAUUACGGCCCCAUGAAGGGAGGUUAUGGUGGCAGCAGUGGCAGUUACGGCAGCGGCGGGGGUUACGGAAGCAGUGGGGGUAGCAGCUAUGGUGGAUACAGUGGGGGCGGCAGAGGGGGCCGUCCGUAUUAGAUCACAUCGAAUGACUCAACCUCUGCUGAGGUUUUCUGCUGUUUCUGCGGGACAGAAAUCUGGUAGCAUACAUGUAGGCCCCUGGCCCAACAGACUUGCAGGGAGGUGUUCUGUGCAGCGUUAAGAUGCACUCUGCAUGCUGGAACAAAAUCCACAAAGUGCAUAUUUUUUGUUUGUGGUGUCGUACAUCUGAAGAGCUACAUUGCACUGAGCAGUUUUAUUAAACAUGUUCAUGAUGAAACUGGUUCGUGUGGAUCUGACGCUAUUACGUCUGAAAUACAAGAGUAAUUCAACAUUAAUGUGUCAUGCAGUUUUGUUUGAAGGGUUCACAACUACGGCAGCAGUCUAACAUUGAAGGAUGCUUGUUAUUUCCUCAAGAUUUUGUAAGCAAAGCUCAGAGGAAGUGUCAUUUCAGUUCGUUUAAUGAAACCAGCAGGCUUUGUCCACCAUACCCCUGUGCAUAUCCAUCCAGUGAAAGAAUAUCCCAUGUCAAAUAAUACAAAGAUUACAACUUUGUGUAUGCCUUAUGCAUAUAGAAAAAUGCACAUACAUGCACAUGCGCACCCUGUGUGAAUUCUUUCACAGGGACUUGAUACAGAUCCAUUUCUUACAUGUGAUUACUUCAGCAGUAUCAAAAUUAAUGAAAAUGACUCUUAAUCUGAUCUCUUUUUGGUGCUCAUGACAAAAUAUUAAAUGUUCAUUUAGGAUCUGUGCGUAUUUAAAUGUUUAUUGUUUAAAAGACUUUUAUAUCAUGGAGAUAAUUGCAUACUUCCAGAGUAAAGGUGUUGGCAUAAUGACAUUUUAUCUAUGUAAUUAUUUUCGUACUUAAUUCAUACCAAAGCCUGAACCUUGUUAAAUGCAUUCUUGAUCAAAGUUUUUACAUGCAGAUAGUUUCAGAAAGUGGCCUUUUUAAAACCUCAUUUUACCGUAGAUAUUUUUUUUAGAUGUCCUAACCAUUACAUAUUGAAACGCGGAAUGAGCUGAACAUGCCUGCAUUUUAAAUCUUCCAGUACUCAUUCCACUCUUAAGGUUGUGAAUAUGAUUUUUAACUUUUACAUCGGGGUUUUUUUUAAUGAAAUAAAAUUUGCAAGGACUGUCACAAAUACAA